AUGGAGGGUCUUAUUCCUUUGGUUUACAAGACAAUUAUGCAAUACAAGAGUGGGAAAGAAGAUGCUAUAGGAUCAUGGAUUUCUGAAUCACCUUCAUAUUCUUACACGAGACUUCCAACUGGUGAUUCUGGUCGGUUUCAAAUUCAAACAACUUCAUCAUCUUCUUCUUCUAAUCAUGUUUCUUCUUCUUCUUCGGCUACAACACAUGUUAUUGUUUCUUCUAGUGUUCAAUCUCCACAUCAUUGUCUCACACAUCGUCGAAUUGCAGCAUAA